rnacentral:lncRNA from 1 species
CGCCCCACCCGCCCCUCCCGCCUGUCUCGCAGCCUCGCAGUCGCCGCCGCCCGCGAGACCAAGUGCUGACCUCCUUUGCGGAGGAACCUGUAACGUGGCGGGACCCACUCAGAUCAUUUUACACCACAAUGUUGCUGCUGCCUAAGGAAAAAAAUGUCUCUUCAGCAGUCCUAAUGACCUCUAGAAAGGGUAAUUUGAUUCUUACAAUACAGUUUUCAUUUGCCCUAGUGGUUAUAAGAAAUUUUCUCUGUGAUACUAAGGUUAUUUUUUCCACAAUCAUAAAUAUUGUGUACAAAUUUGCUUUUCACCUUCUGUAUACUUAGUAGAUUUCUUCCAGAAAUUAGUUCUCUAGCAUUUAUUAGCUUAAUUGUGAAUAUUCUGGCCAGUUCACUUUAAUAAUUUAAGAAAAGAGGGUUUCUUUAUUUUUUUAGAAUGUUUGUUUUGAGACAGGGUCUCGAGCUAUGUAUUUCAGGCUGGCGAAGAUCCUCCUCCCUCAGCUUUGAGCAGUAGUAUUUUAGGUGUGCACCACCAUAGCCAGCAGGAGGGCUUUUUUUAAACCAACCAGAAACUAGAAUUCAUGUUGCCUCUGUAAAAAUGAGUUUCAUGGCAGCAUUCUUGUUUUGCUCUCUGUUCUUUCCUCAGCUCUUUUCUUUUCUCUCUUUUUUUUUCCUCUCAGUACCAGGGAUCAAACUCAGGAUUUUGCGUUUGCCGGGCAAGCACAGCACCACUGAGCUAAAUCCCUGGCUGUUCUCUGUUCGUAAAAGUUACAUUUCCGGGGAUUUAGCUCAGUGGCACCGAGCCUGCCUCAUAAGCGCAAGGUCCUGUGUUCAAUCCUCAGUACCAAAAAAAAAAAGUGACAUUUCCAAAAAUAAUCUAAAUUGUGUUUGUUUGUUCUUGUUAAAGGACUGUCAUUGCCAGGUCAUAGGCAUAGAUGAACAGAACUUCCUGGGAGGGGAACCACCCAGAUCAGAUAUCUAGUUCCUUUUUAAAAAAAUUUUUUGGUACCUGCAAUUGAAUUCGGGUCCUCGCACUUUCGAGGCAGGCAGCGGAACCACUGAGGGCCAGAUCAGAUAUCUAAAGCAG